UACGAAGGGGGCUAGCGUUGCUCGGAAUCACUGGGCGUAAAGCGCACGUAGGCGGAUUGUUAAGUCAGGGGUGGAAUCCUGGAGCUCAACUCCAGAACUGCCUUUGAUACUGAGAAGCUUGAGUCCGGGAGAGGUGAGUGGAACUGCGAGUGUAGAGGUGAAAUUCGUAGAUAUUCGCAAGAACACCAGUGGCGAAGGCGGCUCACUGGCCCGGUACUGACGCUGAGGUGCGAAAGCGUGGGGAGCAAACAGG
rnacentral:rRNA from 1 species